GAAAUGCGAUAAGUAAUGUGAAUUGCAGAAUUCAGUGAAUCAUCGAAUCUUUGAACGCACAUUGCGCCCCUUGGUAUUCCGAGGGGCAUGCCUGUUCGAGCGUCAUUACAACCCUCAAGCUCUGCUUGGUAUUGGGCUCCGUCCUCACUGCGGACGCGCCUCGAAGACCUCGGCGGUGGCUGUUCGGCCCUCAAGCGUAGUAGAAUACACCUCGCUUUGGAGCGGUCGGCGUCGCCUGCCGGAUGAACCUUCUGAACUUUUCUCAAGGUUGACCUCGGAUCAGGUAGGGAUACCCGCUGAACUUAAGC
rnacentral:misc_RNA from 1 species